UCCAAGUCUCUCUUUGUGGACAUCUAUAUAUUGUACAUCUAUAUUGUACGUUACAUGACGUACCGCUGAGGGGGAGAAUGUAACGUACAAUAUAGAUGUACAAUAUAUAGAUGUCCACAAAGAGAGACUUGGA